rnacentral:rRNA from 1 species
UACGUAGGGGGCAAGCGUUAUCCGGAAUUAUUGGGCGUAAAGAGUGCGUAGGUGGUCUACUAAGCGCGAGGUGAAAGGCAAUGGCUCAACCAUUGUUAGCCUUGCGAACUGGCAGACUUGAGUGCAAGAGAGGAAAGCGGAAUUCCUAGUGUAGCGGUGAAAUGCGUAGAUAUUAGGAGGAACACCAGCGGCGAAGGCGGCUUUCUGGACUGUAACUGACACUGAGGCACGAAAGCGUGGGUAGCAAACAGG